AAAUUGAAGAGUUUGAUCAUGGCUCAGAUUGAACGCUGGCGGCAGGCCUAACACAUGCAAGUCGAACGGUAACAGGAAACAGCUUGCUGUUUCGCUGACGAGUGGCGGACGGGUGAGUAAUGUCUGGGAAACUGCCUGAUGGAGGGGGAUAACUACUGGAAACGGUAGCUAAUACCGCAUAACGUCGCAAGACCAAAGAGGGGGACCUUCGGGCCUCUUGCCAUCGGAUGUGCCCAGAUGGGAUUAGCUAGUAGGUGGGGUAACGGCUCACCUAGGCGACGAUCCCUAGCUGGUCUGAGAGGAUGACCAGCCACACUGGAACUGAGACACGGUCCAGACUCCUACGGGAGGCAGCAGUGGGGAAUAUUGCACAAUGGGCGCAAGCCUGAUGCAGCCAUGCCGCGUGUAUGAAGAAGGCCUUCGGGUUGUAAAGUACUUUCAGCGGGGAGGAAGGGAGUAAAGUUAAUACCUUUGCUCAUUGACGUUACCCGCAGAAGAAGCACCGGCUAACUCCGUGCCAGCAGCCGCGGUAAUACGGAGGGUGCAAGCGUUAAUCGGAAUUACUGGGCGUAAAGCGCACGCAGGCGGUUUGUUAAGUCAGAUGUGAAAUCCCCGGGCUCAACCUGGGAACUGCAUCUGAUACUGGCAAGCUUGAGUCUCGUAGAGGGGGGUAGAAUUCCAGGUGUAGCGGUGAAAUGCGUAGAGAUCUGGAGGAAUACCGGUGGCGAAGGCGGCCCCCUGGACGAAGACUGACGCUCAGGUGCGAAAGCGUGGGGAGCAAACAGGAUUAGAUACCCCUGGUAGUCCACGCCGUAAACGAUGUCGACUUGGAGGUUGUGCCCUUGAGGCGUGGCUUCCGGAGCUAACGCGUUAAGUCGACCGCCUGGGGAGUACGGCCGCAAGGUUAAAACUCAAAUGAAUUGACGGGGGCCCGCACAAGCGGUGGAGCAUGUGGUUUAAUUCGAUGCAACGCGAAGAACCUUACCUGGUCUUGACAUCCACAGAACUUUCCAGAGAUGGAUUGGUGCCUUCGGGAACUGUGAGACAGGUGCUGCAUGGCUGUCGUCAGCUCGUGUUGUGAAAUGUUGGGUUAAGUCCCGCAACGAGCGCAACCCUUAUCCUUUGUUGCCAGCGGUCCGGCCGGGAACUCAAAGGAGACUGCCAGUGAUAAACUGGAGGAAGGUGGGGAUGACGUCAAGUCAUCAUGGCCCUUACGACCAGGGCUACACACGUGCUACAAUGGCGCAUACAAAGAGAAGCGACCUCGCGAGAGCAAGCGGACCUCAUAAAGUGCGUCGUAGUCCGGAUUGGAGUCUGCAACUCGACUCCAUGAAGUCGGAAUCGCUAGUAAUCGUGGAUCAGAAUGCCACGGUGAAUACGUUCCCGGGCCUUGUACACACCGCCCGUCACACCAUGGGAGUGGGUUGCAAAAGAAGUAGGUAGCUUAACCUUCGGGAGGGCGCUUACCACUUUGUGAUUCAUGACUGGGGUGAAGUCGUAACAAGGUAACCGUAGGGGAACCUGCGGUUGGAUCACCUCCUUA
rnacentral:rRNA from 1 species